UAGGUUUUUACGGAAUUUCGCCGUUAGAGUUUGAUCAUGGCUCAGGAUGAACGCUAGCGGCAGGCCUAACACAUGCAAGUCGAGGGGUAGAGGAAGCUUGCUUCCUUGAGACCGGCGCACGGGUGCGUAACGCGUAUGCAAUCUACCUUAUACAAAGGGAUAGCCCAGAGAAAUUUGGAUUAAUACCUUAUAGUAUUAUGAAAUCGCAUGGUUUUAUAAUUAAAGUUCCAACGGUAUAAGAUGAGCAUGCGUCCCAUUAGUUAGUUGGUAAGGUAACGGCUUACCAAGACAAUGAUGGGUAGGGGUCCUGAGAGGGAGAUCCCCCACACUGGUACUGAGACACGGACCAGACUCCUACGGGAGGCAGCAGUGAGGAAUAUUGGUCAAUGGACGCAAGUCUGAACCAGCCAUGCCGCGUGCAGGAUGACGGUCCUAUGGAUUGUAAACUGCUUUUAUACAGGAAGAAACACUCCCUCGUGAGGGAGCUUGACGGUACUGUAGGAAUAAGGAUCGGCUAACUCCGUGCCAGCAGCCGCGGUAAUACGGAGGAUCCAAGCGUUAUCCGGAAUCAUUGGGUUUAAAGGGUCCGUAGGCGGUUUAAUAAGUCAGUGGUGAAAGCCUAUCGCUUAACGAUAGAACGGCCAUUGAUACUGUUAGACUUGAAUUAGUGGGAAGUAACUAGAAUAUGUAGUGUAGCGGUGAAAUGCUUAGAUAUUACAUGGAAUACCAAUUGCGAAGGCAGGUUACUAUCACUAUAUUGACGCUGAUGGACGAAAGCGUGGGGAGCGAACAGGAUUAGAUACCCUGGUAGUCC
rnacentral:rRNA from 1 species